rnacentral:rRNA from 1 species
GUGAGGAAUUUUCCGCAAUGGGCGAAAGCCUGACGGAGCAAUGCCGCGUGAAGGAUGAAGGCCUAUGGGUUGUAAACUUCUUUUUUUAGAGAAGAAUAUUGACGGUAUCUGAGGAAUAAGCAUCGGCUAACUCUGUGCCAGCAGCCGCGGUAAGACAGAGGAUGCAAGCGUUAUCCGGAAUGAUUGGGCGUAAAGCGUCUGUAGGUGGCUUCAAAAGUCUCCUGUCAAAGAUCAGGGCUUAACCCUGGGCCGGCAGGAGAAACUCUGAGGCUAGAGUUUGGUAGGGGCAGAGGGAAUUCCCGGUGGAGCGGUGAAAUGCGUAGAGAUCGGGAGGAACACCAAAGGCGAAAGCACUCUGCUGGGCCACAACUGACACUGAGAGACGAAAGCGAGGGGAGCAAAAGGGAUUAGAAACCCGGGUAGUCC